ACCUCUUCACACUCUACCUCCACUAACACACUAACUACCUGGAGCACUUACAUUAAAUGGAUGAAUCAGAACUGUGAAACUACAGAUCUAACCGGAAGUGACCGUUUAUAACUUCCUGUUUGUUUCCUGCUCUCUUUACAGGUGCGAAGCAGACAAGUAAAUAUCUUGUUAUCGAUGUAUCGUGUCAAAUUAAAUGUACUAUUAUUAUCACUGAUGAACGCUGGCGUCGGUAACAGGAAGUCAGAGAAUGGUGACUUCCGUUUUGUCAGUGUGCCGGUAGACAGGCGAACAGGUGAACAGAGAUCUGGUUACAACCGAAGAGCCGAAUUGAAGAGGAGCUCGUGACAGCUGGAGGACACCACACCUUUAUGACGUCACCGUGGAGCCCUGCCGCCACGAGCCGGGUGGACUCAAAGUGACCCGCUUCUCCGCGGAGGCUCCUACCUGGCCGUCCUCCGCCGGGGAUCGAACCCGCGGACCUGCCGCCGCCCUCCGGUCCGCUGAUCGUCUCACCUCAGGUGUGAUCGAUCGAUAGAAUCACUGCUCCCAUCCGGGAUCAGACGAGCCGAUCGGCGCGGCCGCCCCGAUGAUCGAUCAUCGCAGAUCGAUGGUGUGAUCGGAUGAAGGAUCCUCGCUCUUCAUCUUCCUUCUCCUCCUCUUCCUCCUCAUCGAUAAAGCAGCAGCCUGAAUGAGGAGCCGCUCCAUCAGCACCGCGAGGCGCGCUCACAACGACUCGGGAAUGCGCACGUCCGCGCGCACGGACUCGCAUGUGUUGACGGAUCAAACAGAUCGAUAAUCACUUAUUUUAAAUGGAAUAAUCAUUAAAUAAACGCUUUGUCUUCCUG